rnacentral:rRNA from 1 species
GACGGAGGGUGCAAGCGUUGUUCGGAUUGACUGGGCGUAAAGGGCGUGUAGGCGGUUGGUCAAGUCCGAUGUGAAAGCCCGGGGCUCAGCUUCGGAAGUGCAUCGGAAACUAGCCAGCUGGAGCGCGAUAGAGGAGGGCGGAAUUCCUGGUGUAGCGGUGAAAUGCGCAGAUAUCAGGAGGAACACCGAUGGCGAAGGCAGGUCUCUGGGCAGGAACUGACGCUGAGGAGCGAAAGCAUGGGGAGCGAACAGG